CUCCCCUAGAGGGCGAGAGCGCUGCGUUGCCAACUGCACGCGCACGUCGUUGCCGUGUCGUCGUAGACGACACGCUGCGGCGGCCUCGCGAAUGCCUCUCGGUUCCCCGAAUUUCCGAGAGGAACCGCCGUUGCCCGAUAGGACAAGUUUAAUAAGGCAAAGGCCUCGAGAAACCCAAUGUGAUGCCGUUUUGUUACAAUAUUUUAAUGUUAAUUUAAUCUGUCGGCGACGACAGACGAGCCUCGUCCGACUUCCGUCGAAUGUGUCGAACUCGAGACGAUACUCUUUUUUUUUUUUUUUCUUUUCCUAUUAUUCGAUAGACGUUUGAUUAUUAUAUUGAGGCUAUAUUGAAUUUGUUUCUGAAGAAAUAUUGUAUAACAUUAUUGAACGUCUAGCGAUUAUUUAAGAGACUCUUCUUGAAUAAAUGAUUAAUUCAUCGUAAUUUCCUACUAGACAAUCAAGUCUUUUUACAUUAACUUUUUCAAUCUAUACGUUUCAAUAAGUUUUUGAAUACUUACUACGACGAUAAAAAAACAUGCAAUAAUUAUUAUAAUAAAUGAAAUAGUGUAGUCUUUUUCCUAUCUCAAAAAAUUCACAAGAAUGAAAUUUUGAAAUUGUACUUAUAAAAUUCGCGACAACUCAACUGAUUUUUAACCAUCACGCGAUUACAUAAUCUACGGGAGCCCGACUUACGAAAUUCCUAAGGUCGCGAUAACGUGACAUCAAUUUAACAACCCGUUUCGACCGUUAAUUUCAAAGUCCCGGCGCCCCGGAUGGUCCCGAGGGGACACCGGCACUGGAGCCGUGGAGCCGGGACAGUGGUAGAAGGCUAUAGGUCCGGUCACGGCAAAGCUGUGCUCCUCAAUGUAAAGAGGGACACGUCCGAUGCGAUCUCGCGUCCCGCAAUGCGCGGAUGCAUCGUCGUCGUCGUCGUCGUCGAUGCGGAGCACGUCGGUCGAGCACGAGAUGACUUCGUUCCGGCGCUGCGCGCUCGUGAGAAACCGGCUGCCCGCGGCUCGAUACCAGAGGCGCACAUAUAUUUCCGUUGCUCCGUCAUCCGAUUUCCGGGCCGUGCAUCUCGCGCGCGAGAUGCAACGGGCGCCUGCCUGCCUGCAGCCUAUCGAUUCGCAGGCGUGGCUGGCGGCCGGCGCGGCGGCGUGACGAGCCGCACGAGACGUCGAGAUCGCGAGCGUUCUUCGCAGGCCGGACCUAUUUAAUUGGCAGGCCAAGCGCCGGCAAUCUUCCUUCAAGACACUCGUUGUAAGCUAAUUCGAUUAAUUCGCACUGCAGUUAACCCAGUAAAGCGAAAUGCUGGCCAGAGUUCGAGCUUCGAGCGAGUACUGCGGCAAAUUGGCGCCGUCUAUGUCCGCAUUAAUCUCGGAUUUCGCCCGUUGACGCGAACUCGAUGUAUGGAAGGAGAAUAUAUCAUUUGAAUGAUCACACGGGGUGGCAGAUUCUGCUUCCGCCGACAGAAUUUAUAGCAGACGUUCCGCGAAGAUCUAUUUUCCUUUUUACUCAUCUAUAAUUAAUGUCUGUACAUUCUCAAACGUCCGUACGUAUAAUUUGAAAAUUAAGUUUAAAAUUACUUAUAUUUAUAUAAAAAUCUAAUCGCAGGAUGUACGGUGUUUAAAAUCUUUUCAGAAUGACUGCAUUCAACGUGCCGCGAACGUUAAGCAAAGAUUGUAUACGCAUAAAAAAAUUAUAUAAUUAUAUGUAAAUGGAAUAAUAAAACACUGUAUCGUUUCCGUUCUCUUCUCCGGCCGUAUCGAUGGUAUAGAAGAAGUUUUACAGUUAAAUGCGCUUCUCGAAGAGUCCUCGCGUGAGAUGCGCGGGUUCUCUGCGAAGCAGUACCGUAUUCGGCCACGAUUACGCGUUUCGUGUGACAUUACAUUACCUUAACGGCGGCCUUCCGUCUCACUUCCACGUAAGAUGCGUUGGCGCGCCAUAUGUAACGCCUCCUCGGGAACGCGUUAAAUACGGAUCCUGUUAAGAAGUUUUACAUAGGGACGAACAUUUGUAUCCGUGUGCGCCGUAAAUAGCUGAAAACAGCUGCUUGUCUGUAAGGUGAAAUUUUGUUAAGAACAAGUAAACCACAAAAGACAGAACGUUACGAGAUUGCGAGAGUCAGAUCGCGUGCUUUUAAUGCAGGUAAGAAAACGAGCCAUUUGGGGAAUAAGAUUGAAUGCCCCAUCAGCUCUAAGAAUAGAUAGUACACCUGUAAGUAGUGCACGGUGCGGUAAGUGAUUAACUUUAGUGUGUGGCCCACUCCGCCCUCAUCCAGUUAGUCGCUUUAGGCGCGUAUUCUGACUACUACCCUACCCUCCGUCGUAGGAGAAAGUCGAUAAGUGACUCACGGGUACGUACACGCCCGCGGCAACCUGGCAGGCUUAAUUAAUGAACAAGCAGCGUAUUCUGUGUACGUAACAUCGCGCUGUCUGUCCUGGCUUCCGUUGGCGUAAUAUAAUUAGUCGCAUCAUCAUUCUGCUCGUUCAGUAAUACCUCGCGCAAGAUGUGAGCAGAUUCGACUCUGCGAGACGUAAUGUGUUUUUCUAUGAUAUUUGUCUGGGUUGGGUAGUAACUAAUUUAAAAAAAAAUUAAAAGUUAAUUAAUAAAAUUGGAAAGUUAAUAGUUUUCGACUUAAUUAAAUGAGUUAAUUUUUAACUUAAAUUAAUUAUUUUAAAAAUACGUAAAGUUCAAUUUAUCAAGUUUGUUUAUAAGCCUAAAACUUAUCUAUGGAAAAGAAACCGAUUGUCGAUUCUGUUAAGAUAUAAUUUAUGUAAAUGUAUGACUGUACAAAUAUGACUAUAAAAUAUGACCUCAGAAAGGAACGUCAGUAUGUAUUAUUUUAAUCAUCUCGUAGGCGGUAUUUUUACGUUUAAACUUCCAAUGACGUAUGAACCUAACACUUGGGCAAAAUUAAAGCUCCCAUACGUCUCGCGGUGUCAACAGUUUCUAUCUCGCGAAGAUAACAGUGAAGGAAGGCAGCUCCUUCGUGCUGUCAACCUAUUAUCACCGAGAAACAGGAGUUACAUCACUGGGCCGGGUCAAACGCCCUUGCAUCCGGCGUGCGACACCGACGUUAGUAUCUUCGUGAUCGAGAGCGAGCGAGAGAAGGUGUGAUCGGCGAUGGCGACGGCGACGACGACAACGACGACGACGAGGUGUAGCCGGUCCUGCCUCGCUCGUUACCUUGUAUGGAUCAGCCUCGCGCGCCGUCGUCGUCCCGCAGAGAAGAUUAAAAAAAAAAGAUGAAAAAAAAAAAGAAAAGGUCGCACACGCGCUAUCGGCCCGCGCACGCUUGCGGUUUUGCGUGAUAACGCGGUUUCCCCGCGUAUACAAACGCCGGCAUACCCGCAGUUUUUGCCGUAAUUACUGCAGCAUGCCUGUGGCAUACACGACUCCCCGGCUGCGUGCACGCCGAGAUCAUUUUCAUCGAUGCCUCCGCGGAAAUGCUUCCCGCACAGUAACUUAAUCAAUUAUAUUGAUCAACAGUUUCAGCGAACGCGGAUACGAUUACAGGAACAGGAACGUUCUCCGCAGACGUGUGGCGAGAAAUAGCUAGGAAACAGCUGUCAGCCUAGCAGAGCUGCAAAUAAUAGAAAGAUUGUUAGUUUGAAUUAUUUGCAAUAUUUUGCAAAAUCUAGAGGGAAAAAAGAUCACCAAUUUAUUUCUUUAAUCACCUAAGCAGAUUAUGUUUUUAUCAGUUAUUAAUAUAGUGCAGUCUUUAAUUUGCGAGAAAUAAGCAGGUGCCGGUUUUAGAAGGCGUAUUACCAGUAUUGCCGAUCUUUUUCCAUUACAACUUGCAGUUUGUAUCGUUUACACGAGGCUAAAAGACUGCGAUGCGUCAGAGGCUUGACGUAAGACGAAAAGCCUUUCGUCAAUCUUCUUGUCGUGAGAGAUUGCAUAAUAUCCGACUGAAGAACAAUCCACGUGGAUAUACGCUUGGCUUAAUGCCUCACGUCUUAUUGUCCUUCGUUCGCCUUGCUAGCGGUGGCUCCGCGAGUGUAAACGCUAACCGCGGGUGACAUCACGUUCACUUUAAAGCCCGAUCCGAGCACGUUUCCGUCCACCCGGCAGGAAAAAGUAACGCUGGCGUCAUUAAGCGACUGCGUCGUGAUAAUUAGCGAUUGAUCUGUAUCAACCGAACGUCCAGUGCCGCCUUCAUCGCGCCGGGAACAACUCUCUCGCGAUACGCGCCCGAUAUGUUAUGCUGCAUGGCGGAAGUGUGUGACAUCAUCGCGUGUUUAAAGCUUUGGCUGCCAAAUCAAAAUUAAAGAAAUCAUUCUCAAACUAGAAUGAGCAUAAUUGAUCUUUACUUGAUGAAAAUCUUGGCUGAUAACUGCAAUGUUUUCAAUGUCUUCAUUUUCUUCUUUAUAAUAAAUUUAGAGAUGAUAAAGGCUAUGUAAGAAAAAAACGUUCUAAAAAAUAUUAAUUAGAGAAAAAUAAAAACUAGCUCAGUGAUAUAUUUGACGAAGAUUUGUAUUCCAUCUAAUCCAGAUUUGCGGAACGAUUACAUAACGUGUUGUUUUAUCUCGUGUAUAUAAAAUAUCAAUUUGAGAUCGCAGAAUAUGCAUACAGGAUAGUUAUUUGCAUAAAUAUAUCUUAUAAUGCCUUCUUUAUGUCGAUCACGCCAAGUUUUUAUUGCAGAAAAAGAGACGUUACUUAUUUGUCUUUUGUUACUACUAUGCGUUUUUAUUACAUUGAUACAUGAAAAGAACAAUUUUGAAAUGCAGAUCUAAAGAUAAUUAUAUUUGACUCUUAAGCUAUAUGCUAGAAUGUCAAAACUUUUUUCUUUUUAAUACAAAAACAUAAUCCAGUUGAUUAAUCAAUGAAAGCUCAUUCGGAUCAUCUCAUGUACAUUUAGAUAGAUGCUGUUAAAUGCGCUGUUAAAGAUUAAGCUCUUAGUUUUUUUUAAUCGAACUCAAUCCAAUCUUGAUGAUGCGAAUCUAGACAGCCACGGCCUAAGUUGUUAACCGCUUUAACCAAGCUCAGUAUUGCCACUAAGUGUUAACCUUCAAGCUUUAAUGUCAGACCUAGUCGAUCGCGGGCCGGCAUAUGUGCCGCGAAUGCCGAAUUCGCACCUGGUAACAGACGAACCCGCGACACUCUGUGUACGCAUGUCACAACGCGGGGAGGGUGAGCAUGAGUCAUGAUUAUCGACCUUGAUGGACGUGGUGCGUGUUCCCAUCCCCAACGUGGUUCUACGGAAUUUCUGUGCGCGAUGGAACAAGGAGCCGCGCGCGAAGCGCACCUCGCAAUAAAGUGAUUGUGAUAAGGGAAGGUUUUUGUUCGAGGCUACCCCUGAGUCAGAACCGUUGAGUCACCGUCAAAACGAUCGAUAUCGUCUAUAUAUAAGCGUCAUAGCGAGUAUCGCGUGCGGUUUCCAUUUCUGCGGAUGAUACUGAAACGGCUAAGCCAAUUGCGACCCGUGACGAUUAUCUCUAGACUUCUGAUUGCUCCUACGACAUUUUCUUAAUCGCAUAUGUCAAAAAUAAUGUGCGAUUGGCGAGUGACGAGAGAACCCAGGCUUGAACAGGCCAGACCUUGCCCCCCUGGUAUUUUAUUGAUCCUAAGAAGGUGAACGACAACUGAUACGCUUAAAUGCUUCCGCGGGCGUAUGCCCCCAAUCCAUUCGUCUCAUUACUGAUGUAAUCGAGCAGUCGAGAGUUAAGAUAUGUCAUUAUGUGCUGAAGCAUUAAGCUUCCAAAAGGUUCCGAUUACAGUGACAGGCGAAAUCGUGCGACUCGCUGCUACUGCAGCAACUUUUUUUUUUUGAGAUCCUGUCUCUCUCAUAUCCAGGACAAGAUUUUGAUAUAUGGCAACUUUCUCGUGAGAUCGAACGAUACGCAGGUUCGACAAUGUUCACAUGCUCGCCGUAAAUGGCUUCGUUUUCCGGAGGUCGCCGAUAUGUAUACAUCGCGACGAAGGAGAACGAAGUUAAUAAGUCGCUCGACAUCCAAUUCGGAGGCGGAGGCAGGAUUACAUUUACUAUCACCUUGGAACAGAAGAGAGUGCGUUCAUGAAUCCCUGUUAAGCAUCUUCGAUGUAUAUAACAGAAUCCAACAGUUUAUCACGUAAUUAUAACGUAGAUUAAGAUUGGAA